UACGAAGGGGGCUAGCGUUGCUCGGAAUCACUGGGCGUAAAGCGCACGUAGGCGGAUUUCUAAGUCAGGGGUGAAAUCCUGGAGCUCAACUCCAGAACUGCCUUUGAUACUGGGAAUCUCGAGUCCGGGAGAGGUGAGUGGAACUGCGAGUGUAGAGGUGAAAUUCGUAGAUAUUCGCAAAAACACCAGUGGCGAAGGCGGCUCACUGGCCCGGUACUGACGCUGAGGUGCGAAAGCGUGGGGAGCAAACAGG
rnacentral:rRNA from 1 species